AACCGAUCCAGCUACAAACACUCCACAGGUUGGCCAGGCUUCUCUUGAUUCGGAGAUGCAAACUGUGUUAGCUCUACGCGAAUAUUUGUGUGGUCUGCAAUCUGACACCGGCAGGACCAUAAUAGAUUAUGGUGAAUAUUCAGCGACAUGUUCUGAUAUAUAUGAAUCUUUUGCCGAUGGGAAGUGUCUCGACAAUGUAUUCAUGCAGUGUUUCAUCCAAUGUGUUAUUGAUGAUGCAAAAAAAUCAGCAGACUUCCAUGAGUUCGAACAGUUUGAUUCUUGAUGUUAAUGUUGGGUCACUACUCAACUUUGAGGAACAGGAACGACACAGUCGCAACCCUCAACCUUUUGAUGAAUCUGUACUACACACACUUCUAGACAAUUCAUUGCCUGAGACAGAUGAAUUGGACCAAUGCAAAGCGAUCAUGGUCCCCAUGGUAAGCAGGGGGCAUUGGACAUUGUAUGUUGUCAACAAGGUCAAGAAGUGCAUUCAUAUUUUAGAUUCCAACCCAUAUGGGCCAACACUUGGUGGAACUACAUGGAAGGACUAUCAUUUUGCACAUUUGGGCUCAAGUGGCAGAAAGUUACCAUGGGCUAAGGUUAUUAUGAGUAGAUUAAACAAAGCAAUACAACAUGUACGGCCCAGGACAUGCUUUUUCCAAGUUUGGUAACUUCACAAUUGACUUGUGCCCAAAUUGUCCUAACAUGGCAGCAGGAUCCAAUGACUGUGGGUUUUAUGUUAUGGGUUACAUUCUAUUUUAUCAAUGCGACGAAGGAUCUUUGCGGUCAGACAUAGAAGCACUAUGUACAAAUUUACCAGUUAUUUCUAUAGUUGGCACAAGGCAACAUAUGGAACAGAGGUAUAACUAACUCAAUGUUUUUGUUGUUCAGGGCAACACUAGUGAGAUACGGUCUCUUGCGCUGCAUUAUAUCACAUUCCACCCGAAGAACAAAGCAUUAUCGCUGCUCGAAGACAUCCAAAGAUUCAAGGUCUAAAGGAUGUAGUUUAGUUUGGACAUGUAAUAAAUUUUGUAUACAAUGGUUCCCUAAACUUCAGAUCAGUCAUGUGUGUAUAAUAUGGGCAAAGACCGUAGACGUUUCUUAGUUUAUGUCAAUGACAACUUUGGGGAUCAGCUAACCUCUAAACUGGAAUA